GACGAACGCUGGCGGCGUGCUUAACACAUGCAAGUCGAACGGAAAGGCCCUGCUUGCAGUGUACUCGAGUGGCGAACGGGUGAGUAACACGUGGGUGGUCUGCCUUGCAAUUCGGGAUAAGCCUGGGAAACUGGGUCUAGUACCGGAUAGGUGCCAUUUUUAGUGUGAUGGUUGGAAAGUUUUUUCGGUGUAGGAUGAGCUCGCGGCCUAUCAGCUUGUUGGUGUGGUAAUGGCCUACCAAGGCGGCGACGGGUAGCCGGCCUGAGAGGGUGAACGGCGACAUUGGGACUGAGAGACGGCACAGACACCGACGGGAGGCAGCAGUGGGGAAGAUUGCACAAUGGGCGCAAGCCUGAUGCAGCGACGCCGCGGGGGGGAUGACGGCCUUCGGGUUGUAGACUCCUUGCGCUAGGGACGAAGCUUUUUGUGACGGUACCUAGAUAAGAAGCACCGGCUAACUACGUG
rnacentral:rRNA from 1 species